rnacentral:rRNA from 1 species
CAUGUCUAAGUUCAUGCCGCAUUAAGGCGAAACCGCGAAUGGCUCAUUAAAUCAGUUAUGGUUCCUUGGAUCGUACUUUACUACUUGGAUAACUGUGGCAAUUCUAGAGCUAAUACAUGCAGCAGAGCUCCGACCACCUCCGGUGGGACGAGCGCUUUUAUUAGACCAAAACCGAUCGGUGCGCACUCGUGUGCGCCGUUCCCGUGGUGACUCUGUAUAACUUUGGGCUGAUCGCACGGGCUCGUCCCGGCGACGUAUCUUUCAAGUGUCUGCCUUAUCAACUGUCGAUGGUAGGUUACGCGCCUACCAUGGUCGUAACGGGUAACGGGGGAUCAGGGUUCGAUUCCGGAGAGGGAGCCUGAGAAACGGCUACCACAUCCAAGGAAGGCAGCAGGCGCGCAAAUUACCCACUCCCGGCACGGGGAGGUAGUGACGAAAAAUAACAAUACGGGACUCUUUUGAGACCCCGUAAUUGGAAUGAGUACACUCUAAAUCCUUUAACGAUGAACUAUUGGAGGUAAAGUCUGGUGCCAGCAUCCGCGGUAACUCCAGCUCCAAUAGCGUAUAUUAAAGUUGUUGCGGUUAAAAAGCUCGUAGUUGGAUCUCAGUUUGUUCGCGGGCGGU